rnacentral:rRNA from 1 species
UACGGGGGGGGCAAGCGUUGUUCGGAAUUACUGGGCGUAAAGGGCUCGUAGGUGGCCAACUAAGUCAGACGUGAAAUCCCUCGGCUUAACCGGGGAACUGCGUCUGAUACUGGAUGGCUUGAGAUUGGGAGAGGGAUGCGGAAUUCCAGGUGUAGUGGUGGAAUGCGUAGAUAUCGGGAAGAACACCAGUGGCGAAAGCGGCUCUCUGGGGACCAUCUGACGCUGAGGCGCGAAAGCGUGGGGAGCGAACCGG